AGCAUGGUGGAUUAGUGGUUAGUACAUUUGCCUUGCACUUCUGGGGUUGGGGGUUCGAAUCCUGCCUCUGCUG